rnacentral:tRNA from 2 species
GGCCUGUUGGUGAAAUGGUUAACACACAAGCCUCUCAAGCUUGCAUUCACGGGUUCAAAUCCCGUACAGGUCACCA